CAACCCUUAAGCACAGCUUAGUGUUGGGAAUCCGCGGGCCUUGCCCCUGCCCAAACUCACAGAUGCGCGGAACGAUCUGUCCUCUGAGCUCAUAGUAAGUUUCUCUUUU
rnacentral:misc_RNA from 1 species